CUAAGUGGGCUUGAUUGUGGGAAACAAUCCAUAGUUAAGUGCACUUGGGCCAGAGGUGUAUUGGGAUGGGUGACCACCUGGGAAGUCCUGGUUACUAGGU
rnacentral:rRNA from 1 species